UACGUAGGGGCCGAGCGUUGUCCGGAGUUAUUGGGCGUAAAGCGCGCGCAGGCGGCUUCGCGCGUCCGACGUGAAAGCCCCCGGCUCAACCGGGGAGGGUCGUUGGGUACGGCGGAGCUUGAGGGCGGUAGAGGUUGGUGGAAUUCCCGGUGUAGUGGUGAAAUGCGUAGAGAUCGGGAGGAACACCUGUGGCGAAGGCGGCCAACUGGGCCGACCCUGACGCUGAGGCGCGACAGCGUGGGGAGCAAACAGG
rnacentral:rRNA from 1 species